rnacentral:tRNA from 1 species
GUUUCCAUAGUGUAGUGGUUAUCACAUUCACCUAACACGCGAAAGGUCCCUGGUUCGAGACCGGGCGGAAACA